CAAAAUAGAUGAAAACAACUCAGAGAGUUCCAAAAACCAUUGUUGAUUGUUUGGAUGCGAUGGUCUGAAACAGUUGACGAAAUAAUCAAGCAAUCUCUACGGAAGCCAUCAUUCACAACUAUCAGCUCAAAUUAGACAGAGUGUGCUGGUGGGUGAGCGUGCCAAGUGGGACAGCACGAAGCUCCACCGGCUGGAUGCGGUCAAAUGACUCGGUGGCACUAACUUGUGGUAAAAAUAAAAUUAACCGUAUAGAAAUGCACGCAUCCAUCUUCUAAAUACACCGUACAAUCGUCUUUUUCUUUUUGCAAUCAGAAAUUCCAUUCAAAACCGCUUUGAAAUUUCAUAAAUUUUUGAUUUUUUUUCAUUCAGUCGAUCCAUGAACAAGCCUAAACCACCCUGAACAAAAACAACUCAGAAUUCGCGAAAACCCCUACAAUUCAUUUCUGAGUUUUACCGCUCUAAUCAAAAUUUGAGUUUUCCCAGUUUUGGCGCAUUUUGAAUUAUUUUCCUUCAAAUCUGAGU